CCUACGGGAGGCAGCAGUGAGGAAUAUUGGUCAAUGGGCGCGAGCCUGAACCAGCCAAGUCGCGUGAGGGAUGAAGGUUCUAUGGAGCGUAAACCUCUCUUAUAAGGGGAUAAAGUGUGGGACGUGUCCUAUUUUGAAUGUACCUUAUGAAUAAGGAUCGGCUAACUCCGUGCCAGCAGCCGCGGUAAUACGGAGGAUCCGAGCGUUAUCCGGAUUUAUUGGGUUUAAAGGGUGCGUAGGCGGCCUUUUAAGUCAGCGGUGAAAGUCUGUGGCUCAACCAUAGAAUUGCCGUUGAAACUGGGGGGCUUGAGUAUGUUAGAGGCAGGCGGAAUGCGUGGUGUAGCGGUGAAAUGCUUAGAUAUCACGCAGAACCCCGAUUGCGAAGGCAGUCUGCCAAGCCAUGACUGACGCUGAUGCACGAAAGCGUGGGGAUCAAACAGGAUUAGAUACCCGAGUAGUC
rnacentral:rRNA from 1 species